rfam:Heterocephalus glaber contig74749, whole genome shotgun sequence.
AGCUUUGUGCAGGGGCAGUAUCAUAGCCAGUGAAGUUUAUCCAAGGCACAAUUACUGCUUAUUGAAAAAAUUGUAU